UCAGCAGUCAAGAAUAUUAGUCAAUGCUCGCAAGAGUGAACUAGCUAACUGAAAUCUUAAAUUUUAAAAUAUUUAAGAUAAGGUAAGAGAAAAUAAUGAUAUUAUCUUACUAUUAGUGUCGUCUAAAUUUGGUGCCAGAAGACUCGGUAAGACCUUAGACGCAAACGUUAAUCGUCAUAAUCAGGCGUAAAGGGUGUGUAGGCGGCUUUAAAAAAAUAUUUAUAUUUAAAUUAAAGCUAGAAUCUAAAAGAGGGUAAGCUAAACAACAUAAUUAAUUAGGAUUGACAACUUAUAAUAAUGUGGAGUACUAAAGGUUAAAGCUAUUUAUCUACUUAAGAUUGACGCUCAGAAACGAAGGGGAGAAUAAGAAACUUAGAUUAGAGACCUAAUUAUCUCUCUCAGUCAACGAUGAAUGGUAGUUAUUAAAAAUACAAAUAUAAUUUCUUUAUUAUAUAAAUAUUAGUAACGAGGUUAACACGAUGACCAUUCCGCCUUGUUAGUAAGACUGCAAAGUUGAAAACAAAAAAAUUAGUCGGUCUUGAAGCAAACGAAGUGAAGCAUGUUAUUUAAUUCGAUAAUCCGCA
rnacentral:rRNA from 1 species